UACAAAAGUUAAACUGUCAGUGACUCUUUUUCGAUUUGCAAAAACAGUGAUUACUAUGUUUAAUCUUUUUAUGUACCUCGUACCAAGACAUAUGCUAUCGGGGUAAAAGAUGAUUGUGUGUGUACUUUUUUUUAGAAAUAUCUGGAUGAAAUUUGGUCAAAUUUGAAUUGAAAGGGCACAUAAAUAUAGGCAAAAGGAAGCAUUCAAGAAUCAAUUAGAUAUGUCUGACUACAUAACCAAUAUUUUUUUAAAUUAUUUUUUAAAUUAUGAUACUACAUACUUGGGUAAGAGGUUAUCAUUUAGUGAUUAUAGUGUAAUAACACAAUUAGACCUUUUCAAUCACAAUAAAAAGCUUCAAAAACACAAUGGCAUCUGAUAAAUCAAUAAAAAUAUAAGAUGUUUUGAAAAUUAGCCUGUUCUAUAGGAAAUACUGAACAAUAAAAAAACAUAUUUUUUGUUGAAUUUAAGAUAACUCCGGCUCCGACUCCGACUCCGGGUUAUCAGAAAUCCUCGGCUCCGACUCCGACUCCGACUCCAGCUCUAAAAAUUUAGCCGACUCCGGCUCCGACUCCGACUCCAGCUGUUAGAGUUUUGACGACUCCGACUCCGACUCCGACUCCAGGUCCCCAAAAAGACCCGACUCCACCGACUCCGGCUCCGACUCCGACUCCGACUCCACAGCCCUGGCUGCAACAAACUGUCUGCUUUCCCUUAAUUUGGCAGCGAUGUCAAUUUUGUUUAUCAUGUGCCUUUUCUUUAUUUAUCUAUUUCAAUAAUUUCUCAUCUUCCCUGUAAAUUGCCCAUCAUAACAAUAAUCUAAGCUUGUUUGUUAUCUCUUUUCAUUAACUAUUGUUAAUUUCUUUAUCAACUUCAUAAAUUACUAUCUUUCUUUUACUAUUGAUCCUUCAACUAGUAUAUUUCUUUUACUGUCCAUUGUUUUCAAUCUUCACCCUUUUUUUUAAACAAGUGAGGUUCGAGCCCUUACUCAAUUUUUGGAAUGAUCAAAGAAUUAACACAAAUAUUACUAUUGUAUUUUUGGUAAACUUUUGAAUAACAUGCUAAGGUACAAAACAUCGCGACAGAAGAAAUAGCAACAGAUUAAAGGUGUAUUCACAUUAUACCGCAGCCGCAGCCGCAUUCGCACAAAAUUUGACAGUACGGACGCACAGUGCGGACGCGAUUUCUCCAAUGCUAUGUUUUAAAAUUGUAUUUUUUUUAUUUUUAGAGCCCCAAAAACAUAAAAUUUCUAUUUCUACGUUCCAACAUUUGAUUUUUUGUCCAUUAUUUCUUCAUUCUGUAAGAACAAUUCUAGAGUACUUUUUCAAAAGGUCCUAUGCGCCAAAAGUAAACAAACUGAGUUAUACAAUGCAUGACGUUCUGCAUAUCCGAAACUACACUAUCCUCAAACCCGAUUUCUUCUAAGUAUUUAAUUUUUAAAAUUAUUAGCGAAAUGCAAAAUAACCUAUGAGCAUUCUCUUAAAUUUUCAUACAAAAUAAUUUACGUCGUUUUACCUCUCAGUGUCCUAUGUGCAUUCAGUAAAAUGAUGCACAUACGACAAUAACAAAUCGACCUAUGUACAAUUUUAAAUAUAUUUCAAUCAUUAUGCACAUACGCUAAUAUAAUAACGACGUAUGUACGCAUUUUAUUGAAUAAUUAGAAUGUAAUGAUAGAUUUUUUUAUAUCCAUAUAUCUUUUUAAAAAUAAUGUUUGCCUAGGUUCCGGUUAACGUGUAGACGUCAGCUGUAAGAGAGUAUGAAAUGUUUCAAUGCCUGACACAGCAAAAGAGAAGAGCAAAAUUUAACCAAUGAGCUCUCUCUCCCGAAUCUGGCGGAUACGACUCCCAGCAUGACAUACCAAAACAACUCAUAAAACAGCAUAAAAUAUGUUUUUUGUUUUGGUUGAUAGGAUCCCGGACAGAUCAUUGUUGUGGACUGUCUGAGUUUUUAAAGAAAAGUGUCGGAGGGCGAAGGAUUGCGGCAACAAAAAAAUACGCACUGCUUUACGGUACCUGGUCCCCCGACAACGACCAACCAAGCGGCGGCGGACGUGGUACGGAGGACGCUUCUAGAAACCAUGGUCAUGGUCUGUCAGAGAACCUCAAGACGAACGUCGAGUACAUUAAGAUUGCCGGAACCCGGGCGGAUCGGCUAUCAACAACUUCGCCAACGGCAAACUCAUAAUUACGCACGCAGAUGCAGGUCGUCUGGGCCGCUUGGGACAACGUGUCCGAGAAUCCAAAAAUGCACGAGCUGCUGAGACUAGUGUUUCUGAGGCCACCGGAGUGGGCAGAAACAUAGAGGUUGCGGCGGUUAAGGGGUUACAUACAUGUAGAAAAUCACAAAAUGUCAUAUUACAGAUUUUUUUUGAAUCCACUAAAAGAUGAUUAGGAAUAUUUUUUUCUGUGUAUAUUUCGGCAGUGAUACAACCAAAUGCCUUCAAAUAUGUUUUGAUAAUAGAUGAAAAUGUGUAUUUUAAUGCCCUGAUAACAGUUUUUUAAUAAAAUUAAGUGUGUGCUCACACCAACCUCUGACUUUUUUUUUAUCGAUUUACAUGUAUGUAACAAAGGCUCUGCAGAAGCGCUCCGAUCACGACGUGUUGUUCCUGACUACGCAGGGUAUCGUCCAGCUGGAGCAGCGUCACCGUAACGGAAUACGCGGUCGCAUGGCGGCCGUGCACGAUCUGUCAGUACUACGCCGUGGUUUUUCAGUUCCAGCAUGGACACUACGACAAGUGCGUCGCGGCUUCGUCGUCGUGAUGAUCUUUUCUCACAGCCAGCCACAAACGAACUGGUUUUACGGAGGAAUUGGCUGCUAAUCUGAGCGAACUUACCUCGCUGAAGAAUCGCUUGUGACUCUUCGUGCUCGACAGGUCCUAAUAGCUGCUCAUCAGCCAGCUUAAGAACUACGUCACAACCAGAUAAAGUCCAUCUGUCUGUCUAAGAGCACGAAAACCUGCAGUGGUUGAUCUUUUCGGAUGUUUCCAUCUUGGAUAUUCCGCACGACUACCUUUCGACCUUUCUACGACUACUCGUUUCUACCUUUCUUAUCAUGCAGUCUGCAAUGCAAUGCUGGAUUACGUCCAUUGGGCGUACUCGUCCUAUGAUUUGACCUGCCUGCAGCAUCUGGAGCUGUCCGGCAAAGUCCCGCUGAUGAACUGCCAACAGCACGUUACGAGUGUUUUUCUUCUGUGCCUCUGUUUUUUUGUGACCCGAUGUUUUCCGUUUUUCCAGACUCCUCCCAAACGGUAUCAAGUCGGCAACCUAACCGACUCGUUCAUGGCCCUGGCAGUUUAGCGGCGUUCGAUUCAUACGAGCACUUUACCCAGUACUCGGAUGAGAUCCUGGACUUUCUCGGGGACAUGACUUCGAGGCGCGCGAUUCGGACCGCCGCAUAAGCAUCUCGAUCAACGCAAUUGAUUCCAGUUUUGACUUGCGCUCUUCAAGUCCCAAGCUGACCUCACCCCUCGGCCAAGCAACAGCCGUAGAACCCGUUCGGAGAUCCAACCCCUGAGAUCGGAAUAAUUCUUUGGCGAAGAGCAAGGUUCUCAGGGCCGCUCCUGAAUCAACAUCUUGCAUCCUUCGUUAGGCCGUAGGCGUCAUCCAUAAAGUACGUCACGCUCUAAGGGGGGGGGGGUAAAGAGUUGUCGCAAGUGUGACAAGGGAGAGGGGGGGGGGGGUACGUGAGACUGUGACGUGAUAAUCGGACAUGGUAAUAAUCCGUGACGUGGUAAUCACUUUGGCAUAAAAGUUGUGCGCAUGCAGUGCUGCUGGGGGGCUAUCGGAACACUUGUUUAUAAGUGUUAAAUAAUAUGUUUACACUACUUGGGCAAAAAACUUUCAAAAACGAAAGAUUAAAAAAUGUUUUAUGUGCGCUCACAGCUCGAUAGGCGGAUAAGACAAUUUACCAUGUCAAAUUAUCCUAUGCGCCAAAGUAAACAAUAUUGAUUGUUUACAUUGGCGCAUUGGUUAAUUUGGCAUCGUAAAUUAUCCUACCCGCCACCCAUCUGACAGAAUGCUCAUUGGUAAAUAACGGCUUCUCUCUCCUCUCACGCGCUGGAGGCAUUGAAAUAUUUCAUGCUCUUCAUCAGCUGAUGCCUACACGUUGCGAGAGGGUUGGAAAUACAUUAUUACCACAAAAAUGUAGUUUUUUUUAAAUCGAGAUUUACAUUUUAUUUGAUAAAGUUUUAUGAGCAAUGCCACAUGAAUAUAGUCCAAUGCCAAUGUCUUAUGUGCAAAAAUUGUUCUAUGAAACGUGUCCUAUGUGCACUCACAGGUUGUAUGAACCAAAUUGCGUCAGAACUAAGCGUAAUCUUGUCUUUUAUAUAAUCCCGAGAUGUACACUUGAAAAGCAUUACUCUAGACCCAUUUGGGCGUUUUCAGAAUCGAAAAAUACCCAAACGUGUUUGAAUGGGAUUUAAAAAUGUGCACCAAAACUUUAUCAUCAAAUUUCUCAGAUUGAGGUUUUUGCACAUAG